GGGAGCUUGCUCCCUGAUGUUAGCGGCGGACGGGUGAGUAACACGUGGGUAACCUGCCUGUAAGACUGGGAUAACUCCGGGAAACCGGGGCUAAUACCGGAUACUUGUUUGAACCGCAUGGUUCAAACAUAAAAGGUGGCUUCGGCUACCACUUACAGAUGGACCCGCGGCGCAUUAGCUAGUUGGUGAGGUAAUGGCUCACCAAGGCAACGAUGCGUAGCCGACCUGAGAGGGUGAUCGGCCACACUGGGACUGAGACACGGCCCAGACUCCUACGGGAGGCAGCAGUAGGGAAUCUUCCGCAAUGGACGAAAGUCUGACGGAGCAACGCCGCGUGAGUGAUGAAGGUUUUCGGAUCGUAAAGCUCUGUUGUUAGGGAAGAACAAGUGCCGUUCAAAUAGGGCGGCACCUUGACGGUACCUAACCAGAAAGCCACGGCUAACUACGUGCCAGCAGCCGCGGUAAUACGUAGGUGGCAAGCGUUGUCCGGAAUUAUUGGGCGUAAAGGGCUCGCAGGCGGUUUCUUAAGUCUGAUGUGAAAGCCCCCGGCUCAACCGGGGAGGGUCAUUGGAAACUGGGGAACUUGAGUGCAGAAGAGGAGAGUGGAAUUCCACGUGUAGCGGUGAAAUGCGUAGAGAUGUGGAGGAACACCAGUGGCGAAGGCGACUCUCUGGUCUGUAACUGACGCUGAGGAGCGAAAGCGUGGGGAGCGAACAGGAUUAGAUACCCUGGUAGUCCACGCCGUAAACGAUGAGUGCUAAGUGUUAAGGGGGUUUCCGCCCCUUAGUGCUGCAG
rnacentral:rRNA from 2 species